UCUGCUGCCACCAUGUGGUGAGGGAGCCUGGGAGAGUCUUAGUCUUUCUUGGCUUCACUUUCCUCCUCAGUGAGUUAGGGGCUUAUUGUUCCUCUCUGAGGUCCCUUCCUACUUUGUUUUCUCUGAGUCUCUGAGGAACUGAGAUGGUUUUUAAUGCCACCCAGGACCUGCAGCUGAGACCUGACUCUGUGUGUCUCCUGCAGGAGCCUGAGCUGAGUCCCUACACUGGAAGCCCAGAACUGAGGGAACAGAUGAAAGAAAGAAAGUCAGCAGGUUUAGGGGAUGAGAACAACCCACAAAGGACAAGCCAUUGAGACGGAUCCUGGGGCAUGAAUGGUGUAAGGCAAGGGCCAGUCUAAG
rnacentral:lncRNA from 1 species